rnacentral:rRNA from 1 species
AUGGGGGGAACCCUGAUCCAGCCAUGCCGCGUGUGUGAAGAAGGCCUUUUGGUUGUAAAGCACUUUAAGCGAGGAGGAGGCUACCGAGACUAAUACUCUUGGAUAGUGGACGUUACUCGCAGAAUAAGCACCGGCUAACUCUGUGCCAGCAGCCGCGGUAAUACAGAGGGUGCGAGCGUUAAUCGGAUUUACUGGGCGUAAAGCGUGCGUAGGCGGCUUUUUAAGUCGGAUGUGAAAUCCCUGAGCUUAACUUAGGAAUUGCAUUCGAUACUGGGAGGCUAGAGUAUGGGAGAGGAUGGUAGAAUUCCAGGUGUAGCGGUGAAAUGCGUAGAGAUCUGGAGGAAUACCGAUGGCGAAGGCAGCCAUCUGGCCUAAUACUGACGCUGAGGUACGAAAGCAUGGGGAGCAAACAGGAUUAGAUACCCUGGUAGUCCAUGCCGUAAACGAUGUCUACUAGCCGUUGGGGCCUUUGAGGCUUUAGUGGCGCAGCUAACGCGAUAAGUAGACCGCCUGGGGAGUACG